GAAAGGCAAAGAUAUCAUAAUAUACUUGCUGAAGAUGCAGCACAGAUUUUGGAUGACAAGAUCUCUGUCCAGCAGAGGCUUAAAUUGUUGAAGAGAAUAGCCACUGUCAAAGAUGAUGGAACUGUAGAAUUUGAAGUUCCAGGAGAUGUUGAACAACGUGCCCUUGGUAUUGGAAGUGAUGAUGUAAAUAAUACAGUUGCUGAUGAUGAGCUUGCUGAUGUGACAGAUGAAAAAUAUAUACCCCCAAUGCAAAUAGUAAUACUUAUUGUUGGAACCCGUGGAGAUGUGCAGCCAUUUAUAGCAAUCGGCAAACGCCUGCAGGAUUAUGGCCAUCGUGUUAGACUAGCAACUCAUUCAAAUUUCAAAGAGUUUGUCUUGACUGCUGGGUUGGAGUUUUACCCUUUAGGUGGAGAUCCAAAGGUUCUUGCUGGCUACAUGGUUAAAAAUAAAGGCUUCUUGCCAUCGGGGCCCUCAGAGAUACCCAUUCAACGAAAUCAAAUAAAGGAAAUUAUAUACUCCUUGCUUCCAGCUUGUAGGGACGCUGAUCUUGAUACUGGUGUUCCUUUCAGGGCAGAUGCAGUAAUAGCCAAUCCUCCUGCAUAUGGGCACGUUCAUGUGGCAGAAGCACUAAAAAUUCCGCUUCAUAUAUUUUUCACUAUGCCAUGGACGCCAACUAGUGAAUUUCCACAUCCUUUGUCCCGUGUAAAGCAGUCAGCUGGAUAUCGACUUUCAUAUCAAAUAGUUGACUCAUUGAUUUGGCUUGGAAUAAGGGACAUGAUAAAUGAUGUUAGGAAAAAAAAGCUGAAGCUACGACCUGUUACAUAUCUUAGUGGUUCACAAGGCUCUGAUUCUGAUGUGCCACAUGGAUACAUAUGGAGUCCUCACCUUGUUCCAAAACCAAAAGAUUGGGGGUCAAAAGUUGAUGUUGUGGGAUUUUGCUUUCUUGAUUUAGCGUCAAAUUAUGAACCUCCUGAGUCACUUGUGAAAUGGCUUGAAGCUGGCCCAAAACCUAUUUACAUUGGGUUUGGGAGCCUC
rnacentral:misc_RNA from 1 species